rnacentral:rRNA from 1 species
UACGUAGGGGCUAGCGUUGUCCGGAAUCAUUGGCGUAAAGCGCGUGUAGGCGGUCCGGUAAGUCCGCUGUGAAGUCGAGGCUCAACCCUCGAAUGCCGGUGGAUACUGUCGGCUUGAGUACGAGAGCGAGUGAUCUGUGUAGCGUGAAUGCGCAGAUAUCAGAGACACGAUUUUUGCGAAGCAGCUCGCUAGACGUUUUUACUGACGCUGAGACGCAAAAGCUGGGGAGCAAAACGGGGAUUUUA